rfam:Ovis aries breed Texel chromosome 12, whole genome shotgun sequence.
GCACUGGAGGUUCAGCAGUAGAAUUCUUGCCUCCCACAGGGGAAAUCUGGGUUCAAUUCCCAGCCAGUGCA